ensembl:lincRNA
CUCAUUUAGUUAAAUAACUGAUGUCAUUUUUAUAUCCAGCCUAUGAAAUAAUUUUAUUAUUGUCCUAUUUAUAGAAAUAUGGAAAUGGAUGCACAGAAGUUAAAUAACUUACCCCAGACCUCACAGUUCAAACCUGGACACCUGGCUCCCAAAUCUGUGUGCGCAACCACUUCACUGUGCUCUACCCAUAGGACAAACUUAUUUUCGUAUUAAGUUUUUUUUUCUUUUCCCUGUAAGUAGAGACAUUAAGUAUAAAUGAGCAUACACUGUUAUCCAGCUUCCUUAUGGCCAGGGCACAGUUCUGCAAGGUGCCUGGCCUGAUUUGGUGCCCACUGUCUGUUCUCCUCAUAGGAAAACUGUAACCGAAUGACCAGAGGCCAAAGCCUUAGGACCAUGAGCACUGUACGAAUCCUGUACCCAGAAGCUGGUCAAUGCCAUUAACAUGUGCCACCUUCCAAUGGUUUACUGGGCCAUUAACAAUAGGCAAAACCUCUCACUGGGACGAACCAUCACAGCGACUCUGAUCCAGCUCCACUGGCUGAGGUCACCACAGAGCAGGAGGCCUCGGCUUGGAGGAGAGCAGCUAGUCCAGUUUUCCUGCCUCAAUCAGUCACAGGUAGGGGUUUGGCUCGCAGAGUCCUCACUCCGAUCCACAGGCCUCUCCUCCUCAGCAGCAAUAUCCUGCCCAAUGGAGACUGGGGACUCCUCUUCAUCCACAACUGAAGGACUUACAUCUUCUGGUGACCCUUACAAGAUCUGCAUCUGGAAGUGUUUCUGAUGCCGUAUAAAGACACUUUCUAAAUGGAGAGAUGCAUGCUUUCUUUCAUUCACAUUAUCAGUGUAUGUUCACAAUACAUAAUAGCUACAUUUAUAUUGGGGAACUGGUACAUAUUAACAUAUCGUGAUAAUUUGUUGUCCCUUUGCCCUCCUCAGGUCCCCUUCUCCAUCCCCAAAACAUCUGCCUUUUUAAUACUUAUUUAGAUUUUUUUACAGGGCGUUGGACUCCAAGCCUUUGAAGUCCCUCCUUUAUUUUGAGACAGGAUCUUACUAAGUUGCUGUGAUAUUUAACUUUCUAUGUCUGACUUAUUUCACUUAACAUUGUUUAUUGUAAGGCACCUGGAAAAGACACUGGAAACCCUAGGAGAACCGAAGCAGUCUGCACUCUUUCCAGGGUCCAGGGCUACAGGGGUAGAGUGACAAGCUAAGCCCCUGGGAAGGUCCUUACAGGUUUGUCACGGGAGAGGAGACAAGUGUAGCAGAGGGCUCAGACCCCGAGCAAUCUGCUCCACGUGAUAGUCUAGGUUUUAAAAAAAUGUACAUGAAGAAAAUGUAAAAAUGGAAUUAAAGUGUUUGAAGGGGGGAGGGGAGGGGAGGGUGAAGGGAGGGUGGGGACAAGGGGAAAAUAUGAGAACCAAGACCUGUCAUGUAAAGGUACAAGAUCCCACGAAUGAAUGUAACUGUACUGUCUACCUAGAAUGUACCAAUAAAUUAAAUUUUUUAAAAAUGUACAUGGGACAAAAUAUUCAUGUGACUUCAGAUUAAACAACAAAAGGAAAAUGAC